CAUCCCUCUUUUCCUCUCAUUCUGGCCGAGCAACAGCUGAAGCAAAACACCUGCAAAUUUUGCAAAUUUCACCUCCAAAUCUUGCUCAAACCUACACCAAAUUCAACCAAAAUUUAACUACACUUAACUCAACACUUGGGAAGUCCAUCUAGCUGCAAAAGAAAGGAGCUCUCCACGGUUUUCUUCAGGCUUCAAAGGGCCAAAAAUUCUGACUUGACCAACCAUCAAAGUAGGCACGCACGAUGACCUCCAAGAGGACCCUACCGUGGAAGUUUGAACACUCAAUCCAACCUGCUUGCUUGCGUAACUUGGGUGGAACUCGGAGGUGUACUCGAAAACCUUCCUGAUGGGCUUUUGUUUAGGAUUUCCAUUACUUUUGGCUAUGAUUUGGUUUUAGGUUGUACUUUUGGAUUUGAAAUGUAACUCUUUGGGCGAUGAUAUAACUUUUGGGAUUCAUGAUGUACUUUGAACCCCCGACGUACGGGUUGGA